rnacentral:rRNA from 1 species
GAGUAACACGUGGAUAACCUACCUAUAAGACUGGGAUAACUUCGGGAAACCGGAGCUAAUACCGGAUAAUAUUUUGAACCGCAUGGUUCAAAAGUGAAAGACGGUCUUGCUGUCACUUAUAGAUGGAUCCGCGCUGCAUUAGCUAGUUGGUAAGGUAACGGCUUACCAAGGCAACGAUGCAUAGCCGACCUGAGAGGGUGAUCGGCCACACUGGAACUGAGACACGGUCCAGACUCCUACGGGAGGCAGCAGUAGGGAAUCUUCCGCAAUGGGCGAAAGCCUGACGGAGCAACGCCGCGUGAGUGAUGAAGGUCUUCGGAUCGUAAAACUCUGUUAUUAGGGAAGAACAUAUGUGUAAGUAACUGUGCACAUCUUGACGGUACCUAAUCAGAAAGCCACGGCUAACUACGUGCCAGCAGCCGCGGUAAUACGUAGGUGGCAAGCGUUAUCCGGAAUUAUUGGGCGUAAAGCGCGCGUAGGCGGUUUUUUAAGUCUGAUGUGAAAGCCCACGGCUCAACCGUGGAGGGUCAUUGGAAACUGGAAAACUUGAGUGCAGAAGAGGAAAGUGGAAUUCCAUGUGUAGCGGUGAAAUGCGCAGAGAUAUGGAGGAACACCAGUGGCGAAGGCGACUUUCUGGUCUGUAACUGACGCUGAUGUGCGAAAGCGUGGGGAUCAAACAGGAUUAGAUACCCUGGUAGUCCACGCCGUAAACGAUGAGUGCUAAGUGUUAGGGGGUUUCCGCCCCUUAGUGCUGCAGCUAACGCAUUAAGCACUCCGCCUGGGGAGUACGACCGCAAGGUUGAAACUCAAAGGAAUUGACGGGGACCCGCACAAGCGGUGGAGCAUGUGGUUUAAUUCGAAGCAACGCGAAGAACCUUACCAAAUCUUGACAUUCUUUGACAACUCUAGAGAUAGAGCCUUCCCCUUCGGGGGACAAAGUGACAGGUGGUGCAUGGUUGUCGUCAGCUCGUGUCGUGAGAUGUUGGGUUAAGUCCCGCAACGAGCGCAACCCUUAAGCUUAGUUGCCAUCAUUAAGUUGGGCACUCUAAGUUGACUGCCGGUGACAAACCGGAGGAAGGUGGGGAUGACGUCAAAUCAUCAUGCCCCUUAUGAUUUGGGCUACACACGUGCUACAAUGGACAAUACAAAGGGCAGCGAAACCGCGAGGUCAAGCAAAUCCCAUAAAGUUGUUCUCAGUUCGGAUUGUAGUCUGCAACUCGACUACAUGAAGCUGGAAUCGCUAGUAAUCGUAGAUCAGCAUGCUACGGUGAAUACGUUCCCGGGUCUUGUACACACCGCCCGUCACACCACGAGAGUUUGUAACACCCGAAGCCGGUGGAGUAACCUUUUAGGAGCUAGCCGUCGAAGGUGGGACAAAUGAUUGGGGUGAAGUCGUAACAAGGUAGCCGUAUCGGAAGGUGCGGCUGGAUCACCU